CAGUCGCCACGGUAAAACGAGGGGGGCUAGCGUUGUUCGGAAUUACUGGGCGUAAAGCGCACGUAGGCGGCGAUCUAAGUCAGGGGUGAAAGCCCGGGGCUCAACCCCGGAAUAGCCUUUGAGACUGGAUUGCUAGAAUCUGGGAGAGGUGAGUGGAACUGCGAGUGUAGAGGUGAAAUUCGUAGAUAUUCGCAAGAACACCAGUGGCGAAGGCGGCUCACUGGCCCGAUACUGACGCUGAGGUGCGAAAGCGUGGGGAGCAAACAGGAUUAGAUACCCCCGUAGUCCCUGUCUCUUAUAC
rnacentral:rRNA from 1 species